rnacentral:ncRNA from 2 species
UGACAAACAAAGUUCGAAGGUCGGAAAUCGCAUGAAGCUUAAUAGGGAAGACCGGUGAGAUACCGGCACGGACCCGCCACUGUAAGGAAUAGCAGCAAGCAGCAUGCUGUGAUGUCCGAGUCAGAAAAUCUGCCUAUUUACAUAACGCUUA